CUUAAAAAUUUUAGAUUAUUUAAUGACAAGUCGUAAUGAUUAUUGAAAUUAAUUUUGAAUUUUUAGUGUCUGAUAAUACUGACAUAAAACUGAUAUUCAUUAACUGUCGGUUUCUUUUUCAGCUAACAAUCAUAAUGCAUUUAGAAGUGUACCUUCAGUCGUUUUCCACUCAAGACUGAAUUUGAACUAUGAGCAAAGUGUUUGAAAUAUAACUGAUAUACAUAAGAAGUCUUGACUAAAUUAGUGAUAUGGAAAAGAACCUUCUAAAACUCUAUAAAUUCAAGUAUAAUCUUUAGGCAAAGUAUUCAAAAACUUCUCACAUUUAGUAAAUGCAUAUGCUACUUUUGCCUAGUUUUGCUUUGUGAUCUUCACAUUUUCGAGUAGAACAUUCUGGCUUCCAUGAUGGAGAGUUAAGUGCUGACAGAUACAUACAAGCCACACAGCUAUCAUCAAAUUCUUGAGAAACAGAAUUAUAAUAGGCAUUUUGCUUUCAUUUUGAUUUUUGGCUCACUGAUGCAAAAAAAAAAAAUCCUUUCAGAUUUUUAAUUUCAGAUCAGGGAUAUAAAAAACUGGAAAAAAUUUUGCUUCCAUAUAUACAACGGAAAACCUGGAGAAACUACAUAUUAGAGAUUUUUAAAAAUACUUGGAUUUAACUUGGGGUUUUCUACUACUAAGCUAUAUCCCUAGUCCUCUUUUUUUUUUUUUUUUUUUUUAAUAUUGCUGAGGCUGGCCUUGAACUUGUGAUCUUCCUGCCUCAGGCUCUCUAGUAGCUGAAAUUACAGGGCCAGCUAUAUUAGUGAUUUUUAUUCAAUCUUUUAAGAGCUGAAAUUGCAGAUUAAGACAUUAACCUAAAUGUGAAGAGAGAUGCGCCUACAGGGUGUAACAGGAACCAGACAUUUACAUACCUGCUGCUGAGGACACCAAAUGCAUGUAAGUUGAUAACUAUAUCAGGUAGAAUUUGGGACUGAAUUUCUAAAGCUCAAGAUUCUACAAACCUGAAAGUCUAUGAACUAUAAAAAUAGUUGGUUUCUUAGUUUCUUACAGAUUUUUUUUCCUCUAGGAAUUCCAUAAGCUACUAACAAUAAAGAAUGGAAAAAACAGGGGCUGGGUUGUGGCUCAGUGGUAGAGCACAAGACUUGUGCUGUGAGGCAUUGGGUUCGAUCCUCAGUACCACAUAAAAGUAAAAGGUAUUGUGUCCAUCUACAACUAAAAAAAUUUUUUAAAAAAGAAUGGAAAAAAUUAAAAAGAUGUUGUUUUCAUCAGUUUUUUUCGCUGCUGUGACUAAAGAACCCAAUCAGAACAACUGUACAGGAGGAAAAGUUUAUUUGAGGGCUCAAGGUCUCAGAGGUUCUAGUCCAUAAAAGGCUGGUUCCCUUUCUUGGGGCUCAAGAUGUGGCUGAACAUCAUGGUGGAGUGUGUAGCAGAGGGAAGCAGCUCACAUCAUGGUGAUCAAGAAGCAGAGAGAGUCCUCUACUUGCCAGAUACAAAUAUAUGUAUCCCAAAGCCAGACCCUAAUUCCCACCUCCUCCACCCACACCUUACCACUUCAGUUACCACUUAGCUAAUCCCUAUCAGGUAUAGUGCUAUACUUUGAUUCUGCUUGAUGGUAGUAGUGUCCCUUUCUCUGUGGUUUCACUGGAAACCAUAUAGGGAGCAUAGACUUCCAUUCCCUACUCUGAGGUAUGUCAGAAAGCUGAGUAGGAACCACUGAUUUUUACCACCUCUUAGUUGGUAACAAGCCUCACUCCAAAGAAGUAUUAUUGGAGGCCACACGUGUAGUAGAAACAGUCAUAAGCCCCCCUUCUAGCUAGGUGGUAUCAAAGGAGGCUUAGGGCAUUAAUCCUGACAGGAAUUAAUUCAUUGAUAUGGUUAAGACUCUCACAACCCAAUCAUUUCUCCUAUGAACCUUCUUUCAUUGUCUCACAUAUGCGCUUUCAGGGGACAGCACAUCUCAAUCCUAACAGAUGUCAUCUGGUGCUGGCUGGAAAGGGAGAACAUCAAAAUCUAUUUCCAAAAUCUAUUUCCUCCAUAUACAAUAGUUCCCUAUAAUAGAAAAGGAUUAAUCAACAGGGGAAAGGGCUAAGAUGUUUGUAAUAUGAAGAUACUGGUGAAACCCAUUACCGGGGGUGGAAAAAAUGUUUUACCUUGGCUGGGAGGGAAAGGAGUACUUUAUAGAUCCAGCAUUACAGCUGAGAAGGACAAGGGUAGGUAUAUCUGUGGAUUAUAUCCCCAAAACCAAAAUUCACAGUGCCUGCCUAAUAUUGAACGUCAAUCAUAACACAAGACACUCCCCAUGUUCUCUGCCUCAUUUCAAGCCCGUAUUCUAUACUAUAUAUAAUAUAUAAAGAAAAAACAUCAGUAAAGAUAGUUGAAAUCUCUAAAAGACUCAGAUUUUGUCUGCAACAGAACAAAACAAAGCCAAGUAGAGAAACCCAAAGACAAGCAAGAAACAGACUUCUCUAUAGCAAACUGUUGCUCACUGUAAGCAAGAUAUCACUAGGGAAAUGUGAAGAAGCCUGUAGUACAAUGGAGAGGCUACAACAACAACUAAGAUCAAAUAUCCCCAAUCGACUUACUAGAUAACAAUACUUUCAAACUAAAGACCUAGGCGAGAAAGAAAGUAUACUCAUCUCUGGUCCAAAAAAAAUAUUGCUUCCUUAUGCAGUAUGUCUAGUUUUUAAAAGAAAAAAAUAAGGAUGAUUACAGAUAAGCAAGAAAAAGCACAAUCUGAAAGAUUCAGUAAUCAUAAAAACCAAACUGAUAGAUGAUACAGAUGUUGAACCUAUCAGAAACGGCAUUUAAAACAAUUUAAAUUAAUAUUUUAAAUGGUCUAGUAGAAAAGACUGUACAACAUGCAAGAUCAGAUACUCAAAUUCAAUACCAAAUACUGUUAGGUAGCAGUUUUUCAUGAGUAGUGGGGUCAGGGGUUUAAGAAAAUACUUAAUACUGAGCCAAUUAGUUAAUUAACGGCCCUGUCUCAGUGGUACCACAAGGUAUGAUACGAUAACUAUUUAAAUACCCUUUCCUGAUCUCAUAAAUCAUUUUUCUUACAACAGGAGGAAGAUAGAUAAAUGCAUGAGGUAAGAACCAAAGGGGAUGGGUAUACUCACUCAAAAGGACCUAAUUGCUUAAACAUCUAAAUGAGACCUGCUCAAACAUCAUAGACCAGAGAUUCCCAACUUGGGAAAGGAGAAUGAUUCUGACCAG
rnacentral:lncRNA from 1 species